rnacentral:rRNA from 1 species
CCUACGGGAGACAGCAGUGAGGAAUAUUGGUCAAUGGGCGGGAGCCUGAACCAGCCAAGUCGCGUGAGGGAAGACGGUCCUCUGGAUUGUAAACCUCUUUAGGCGGGGAGCAAUGCCGGGCACGUGUGCCCGGAGGGAGAGUACCCGCAGAAUAAGCAUCGGCUAACUCCGUGCCAGCAGCCGCGGUAAUACGGAGGAUGCGAGCGUUAUCCGGAUUUAUUGGGUUAAAAGGGUGCGUAGGCGGAUUUUAAAGUCAGCGGUAAAAUGUCCGGGCUAAAUCCCGACAAGCCGUUGAAACGGGCUUGCUAGAGUGGGCGAGAAGUAUGCGGAAUGCGUGGUGUAGCGGUGAAAUGCAUAGAGAUCACGCAGAACUCCGAUUGCGAAGGCAGCAUACCGGCGCCCAACUGACGCUCAGGCACGAAAGCGUGGGUAUCGAACAGGAUUAGAUACCCAAGUAGUC